AUUGAACGCUGGCGGCAUGCCUUACACAUGCAAGUCGAACGGCAGCACGGGAGCAAUCCUGGUGGCGAGUGGCGAACGGGUGAGUAAAGUAUCGGAACGUGCCCAGUCGUGGGGGAUAACGUAGCGAAAGUUACGCUAAUACCGCAUACGAUCUAUGGAUGAAAGCGGGGGAUCGCAAGACCUCGCGCGAUUGGAGCGGCCGAUAUCAGAUUAGGUAGUUGGUGGGGUAAAGGCUCACCAAGCCGACGAUCUGUAGCUGGUCUGAGAGGACGACCAGCAACACUGGGACUUAGACACGGCCCAGACUCCUACGGGAGGCAGCAGUGGGGAAUUUUGGACAAUGGGCGAAAGCCUGAUCCAGCCAUGCCGCGUGCAGGAUGAAGGCCUUCGGGUUGUAAACUGCUUUUGUACGGAACGAGAAGGUUUGGCCUAAUAAGCUGAGCUCAUGACGGUACCGUAAGAAUAAGCACCGGCUAACUACGUGCCAGCCGCCGCCGUAA
rnacentral:rRNA from 1 species